rnacentral:rRNA from 1 species
AACGAACGCUGGCGGCAGGCUUAACACAUGCAAGUCGAACGCCCCGCAAGGGGAGUGGCAGACGGGUGAGUAACGCGUGGGAAUCUACCCAGAUCUACGGAACAACAGUUGGAAACGACUGCUAAUACCGUAUACGCCCUACGGGGGAAAGAUUUAUCGGAUUUGGAUGAGCCCGCGUUGGAUUAGCUAGUUGGUGGGGUAAUGGCCUACCAAGGCGACGAUCCAUAGCUGGUCUGAGAGGAUGAUCAGCCACACUGGGACUGAGACACGGCCCAGACUCCUACGGGAGGCAGCAGUGGGGAAAAUUGGACGAUGGGCGCAAGCUUGAUCCAGCCAUGCCGCGUGAGUGAUGAAGGCCUUAGGGUUGUAAAGCUCUUUCACCGAUGAAGAUAAUGACGGUAGUCGGAGAAGAAGCCCCGGCUAACUUCGUGCCAGCAGCCGCGGUAACAC